ensembl:lncRNA
GGCCCUUCAGCCACUUGAAGCCAGCUGUCCUGGGUCUUCCUCUAGGACCCAUGUCCCCAGCCUCCAGACAGGUCCUGGCAAGACUGUGGAUUGCAUCCGUGGAUGCUUACUGAGCACGUACUGUGCAUGUGCCAUGCAUGGCGUCCAGGCAUCUUCUGCCUGUGUCUACUGCUUAAUGCUCCCAGUUGGGGCUCAGUAUCCCUGUCUUACAGUUGAGAAAGCUAAAGGUAAGAGCCUUGAAAGGCCUCUGAGAUUUCUCAUAAUUUAGUCACCAAAGAGAGACCAGAACGCAAGCCUUUCUUUUAUACCCCACAUCUCUCUAGAAGAAACCCCACAGCAUCUCCUCCAGGCUCUGUGAGGAGGGCACUGCCAUCCUCCCCACUCCACAGGUGGGGGCCUGAGCCUCUGUAGCCAGCAUUGCCCACAUUCCAUGACUGAGAGGAUGUUGGUCUGCCCAACUGUGCCCCUCUGACCCAGGGUGAGAAGAACCCCACUAUUCUGGCCCUCACAGGGCACCAUCCUCCACUCCAGUGGCUUGGGUGAUGCCGGCUUGUUGCAUGGGGGAGCAGUUGGUGCUGGGCUCCCAGUGAUUGAUGCCGCCUCUUCGCCUCUGAAAUCCCCAGCCUGUCUGCACUUCACCUGCAGGGAGAGGCUGGUGAACCCUUUUAACUGCAGCCAGAGCACUUGGCUGUGUUCCCCUUGCCUGGGGUCAGACGCGCCGCACACCUCCCAGCCAACCGCGAACAAGGUGAUUAUGAGCUAAUAACAUUUGGAUCCAGAACCCCAAGUGAGUGCUGACCAGGAGUCACCCCUAAGGCAGCUCCCAGGGAGGCAUGGGAGCGGGGCCCCGCCUGGCCUUUGCAGCCACCAAAGAAGAAUUCUUGGGAAUGGCGGGGUGCCCUGAUGACUCUCUUGGCCUGCUGUGGUCACCAGGCGGCUGGAAAGCAGUCCUAGCCUGCAGGCGGUCACCCUGGGGCUCUGCCUACUGCAGGCAGGGAGAUGAGCCCUAAAAUGGGAUGGGGUGUGCCAAGCCCUCUGGAGGGUCUGCGGUGGGCAGGCCAGGCGGAAAGCCUCGCCAUAUGUGUGGGCCUCUCAGCUUUAUCAGCUCUCAGGAUCGGCGCAUGGGGGGAGGGGUGUGUGUUUGGGAGACCAGCCCUCUGCACAGGCCACCAGCCAGCCUAUUACCCGCCCUUUCCAGACACUUGACUUCUCUUCCUCUAAUAUUUAUAAUUUCGAUGUAGGCCUAGUUGCUGAGAGGUACAGAGCCUCAGCAAUGUGGGCUAGGUGGGGAGCCCCCUCCCCCCUCCCCCUGCUGAAGUGAGGCAAAUACAGGGUAGGAGAGCAGAGUUGGGGGUGGGAGGGAUCUGCUAGGGAGCCCCCCCAGGCAACAGCAUUAACUUGUGAUGUAAAUCCUUAAUUCAAUGAUUCCUCCUCCUCCCUGCUUAUCACUCUGGCUUGUGACUAUUAAGCCCAGCUCUCCUGCCCGAGGGGUUCAGUGGUGGGAAACUGGACUCCAAAGGAAAGAAGAGGGCCCUGGAACCUGAGAGGAAGACGGGUUCCUCAUUUCCACAUCCCUAACACAGGAUUGGCACAAUCAGUCCACAGAGACAUACUGUCUGCUUCUAUGGAGACACCAGACUAGGCUCAGGCUAGACUGGCUGGUGCCGCAAUGAUUCUACAUCUCUGGGCCUCGGCAUCCUCUCCUGUAAAAUGGAGAAGCAACAUGUACCUCAUCAGUGGUUGUGACUCAUGAGCUGAUUGCAUACAAUGUACCUGGGCAUUCCAGUUGUGGCUCAGUGGAUUAAAACCAAAUGCAGUGUCUGAAGAUGCAGCUUCAAUACCUCACCUUACUCGGUGGGUUAAGGAUCUGGCUUGGAUCCAGUGUUGCAUAGAUGUGGUGUAGGCCUGCUCCUGAAGGGCUAAUUUGACCCCUAACCUGGAAAUGUCUACGUGCUGUAGGUACAGCCAUAACAAGAAAACCAAACAAAAAACAAACAAAAAA